rfam:Cavia porcellus supercont2_17 genomic scaffold, whole genome shotgun sequence.
UGCAAGGAAGGUGCUUAUGCCGCUGAGCUAAAUCCCCAGCCCCCGACCCUGUUCUUCUUGAGACUCUUUUCUGUGUAGCUCUGGCUUCUGUACAAGCAUGGUGGGUAGAGGUCCUUGCGAUGAUGUUCACUGAUGCUUCUAUGCUAGGAGAUGCUCCAAACAUCAUUGCAUUCUUCCACUUCUGCAUGGGAGUUAAUUAGGGAGAAUGUUCUGAGCUAUAGUCAA